rnacentral:misc_RNA from 1 species
AAUCAGCUUGUUGUCUGAUUUCAUGGCUAGAAUCACUCAACAUAUUAAAUAGACCAUCAAGAAAAUCAGGAAGAAAACCCAGCAUAUCUAUAUCUGGAACACUGUCCAACACAGUGAUCCAUCCAACCAAAAAUUGGCGGACAUAGGGGUUAAGGACAUUCAUACGUUCUCUCAACAACGGUAUAAAUUCUUCAAUGCUGAAUUGAUCACUUUCAGUAACAAUGUCUUUAAAAAGCCGAUCCAAAAGAUGAGCAGCACU